CAGUAGAGUUUGAUCAUGGCUCAGGAAGUCGUAACGAGGUAACGAGUAGAGUUUGAUACUGCCUCAAGACGGCCUGACAAGGUGACCAGUCACGCUGGGACUGAGACACGGCCCAGACUCCUACGGGAGGCAGCAGUGGGGAAUAUUGCACAAUGGGCGCAAGCCUGAUGCAGCGACACCGCGUGAGGGAUGACGGCCUUCGGGUUGUAAACCUCUUUCAGUAGGGAAGAAGCGAAAGUGACGGUACCUGCAGAAGAAGCGCCGGCUAACUACGUGCCAGCAGCCGCGGUAAUACGUAGGGCGCAAGCGUUAUCCGGAAUUAUUGGGCGUAAAGAGCUCGUAGGCGGUUUGUCGCGUCUGCCGUGAAAGUCCGGGGCUCAACUCCGGAUCUGCGGUGGGUACGGGCAGACUAGAGUGAUGUAGGGGAGACUGGAAUUCCUGGUGUAGCGGUGAAAUGCGCAGAUAUCAGGAGGAACACCGAUGGCUAAGGCAGGUCUCUGGGCAUUAACUGACGCUGAGGAGCGAAAGCAUGGGGAGCGAACAGGAUUAGAUACCCUGGUAGUCCAUGCCGUAAACGUUGGGCACUAGGUGUGGGGGGACAUUCCACGUUUUCCGCGCCGUAGCUAACGCAUUAAGUGCCCCGCCUGGGGAGUACGGCCGCAAGGCUAAAACUCAAAGGAAUUGACGGGGGCCCGCACAAGCGGCGGAGCAUGCGGAUUAAUUCGAUGCAACGCGAAGAACCUUACCAAGGCUUGACAUGAACCGGAAAUACCUGGAGACAGGUGCCCCGCUUGCGGUCGGUUUACAGGUGGUGCAUGGUUGUCGUCAGCUCGUGUCGUGAGAUGUUGGGUUAAGUCCCGCAACGAGCGCAACCCUCGUUCUAUGUUGCCAGCACGUGAUGGUGGGGACUCAUAGGAGACUGCCGGGGUCAACUCGGAGGAAGGUGGGGACGACGUCAAAUCAUCAUGCCCAUCAUGUCUUGGGCUUCACGCAUGCUACAAUGGCCGCUACAAAGGCAGUAGA
rnacentral:rRNA from 1 species